rnacentral:miRNA from 5 species
CAGUGCAAUAGUAUUGUCAUAG